GGCCCCUAAAUACACAAUUUUACAUACCAAACAAGUUCAUUUGAAGCCGCUGUUACGAAACCCCUGCCGGCAACCCUGCUAUAACUUAUGUACAAAAAUCAAAGUGCCAAGUGCCAUUGUGAUGCAACAUAUUCCAGCUUCUUCGCACAUCUCUUCUCCCCAUUGAACUUGUCACAAUCUUCAACGCAUAUUUAAUGCUUUUACACUAGAUUACUCUUCAAUCACAUAUCAUCUUUCAGUCUACUGGCUCUGGCACUUUCAAGACCAUUUUAUAUGCACUUUAUGUACCUGGAAACAAAGAGAAUGUGGUUCAGGGAGCCUCGAGAUUCCACUGCUCACCAUCCUUCCACUAUUUACUCGUGAAAUCCAGUUCAAGACACAACCCAAAUAGUGGUGAAACACCAGAUAUCU
rnacentral:misc_RNA from 1 species